rnacentral:rRNA from 1 species
GAUGAACGCUGGCGGCGUGCCUAAUACAUGCAAGUCGAGCGAACGGACGAGAAGCUUGCUUCUCUGAUGUUAGCGGCGGACGGGUGAGUAACACGUGGAUAACCUACCUAUAAGACUGGGAUAACUUCGGGAAACCGGAGCUAAUACCGGAUGAUAUUUUGAACCGCAUGGUUCAAAAGUGAAAGACGGUCUUGCUGUCACUUAUAGAUGGAUCCGCGCUGCAUUAGCUAGUUGGUAAGGUAACGGCUUACCAAGGCAACGAUGCAUAGCCGACCUGAGAGGGUGAUCGGCCACACUGGAACUGAGACACGGUCCAGACUCCUACGGGAGGCAGCAGUAGGGAAUCUUCCGCAAUGGGCGAAAGCCUGACGGAGCAACGCCGCGUGAGUGAUGAAGGUCUUCGGAUCGUAAAACUCUGUUAUUAGGGAAGAACAUAUGUGUAAGUAACUGUGCACAUCUUGACGGUUCCUAAUCAGAAAGCCACGGCUAACUACGUG